UGUGUAACCUCUCUGACGUGCCAGCAGUCAGGGCUAUGUGUGCACUGACGAGCUGCUUAACACUUGGACGUAAUAGUUUGCUAGACUUACAACAUAUCCACGAAUUUCCGAAUAAUACGCUCUAUUCAAAUUAAGGUACCGGCAACGAAUCAUCGAUAGCAAAUGCACCACCCGCUGCUCUGUUCUUCUAAAACUCGUAUCGAUUCCCUUUUGAACCGUUCAAAUCGCAAUUUGGCAAAGAGAUGAGAUCGUUGAAAUUUUCACACUUUACAGUUGUAUACCAAAAGUCACAUUAAGGUCAUCAGCAGCGCAAGAAAAAAAGCCCUGCUAUGAAUCAAAAGCUAUUUAUGCAGAAUUAUAAAUGACUAAAAACUACUGGCAAAUGUUAGGCUAGGCAGGAGGUCUCAAUUAAAUAAUUCACAAAAUUGCUUUCCACUCACAUCCGCGUGUGGCCCGCCGCUGAGUAAGCAGGUCAUUAGUGCCAAUAUACGGCCAAGAGUAUAAAUCAGGCCGACCGUGCAAGCAAAAAAGCAAAAGCUAGCUGGAACCAAGCCAAUAAAACUAAUAAUAAUAAAUAUGGCAAAAAUGUGAAAAAAAUAAAAACAAUCAAGAAAUACUAGAAACACUGAAAAAUAAGUUAAUAAAUAUUAUACGUGCAUGUAUGAGUGUGUGUGUGUGCGUGCU